GUGUCAGCAGCCGCGGUAAUACGGAGGGUGCGAGCGUUAAUCGGAAUUACUGGGCGUAAAGCGCACGCAGGCGGUUUGUUAAGUCAGAUGUGAAAUCCCCGGGCUCAACCUGGGAACUGCAUCUGAUACUGGCAAGCUUGAGUCUCGUAGAGGGGGGUAGAAUUCCAGGUGUAGCGGUGAAAUGCGUAGAGAUCUGGAGGAAUACCGGUGGCGAAGGCGGCCCCCUGGACGAAGACUGGCGCUCAGGUGCGAAAGCGUGGGGAGCAAACAGGAUUAGAAACCCUCGUAGUCC
rnacentral:rRNA from 1 species